GUCACUGAAUUUUCCCAGACAACAUAUGUUCUGCAAUCGUGUGGCAUUGAUGAUUUCGUUUUUGGAAUCAUUUGGCAGAUAUGUUAAGAUGUAUGCAUAUGUAUCGCAUGGAUGUUUAAAUUUUUCCAGACUAUUGAUGAUGAGGCUCAUGAAGAUUAUCUGGAGGAGGGGACGAAGAGAUGAAAGACGGCGAGGAUGCCCAACAAAAACAAUUCAAGUAACGUUUCAAAACCCGGAGCGUCACCAACAAGUGCUUGUAACGAAAAAGGAGGAUCUGUCGGAGAUGAGAAAGUUGGAAUUAAACAAAAAAAUAUCAUUGAGGAAGAAAUUAAAUUCAACAACAGGAGAGAACAUUACUGUGUGUAAAACAGAUGGUGGUUUAAAAAAACAAGAUAAAUAUAGAAAUGCAUGAACUAGAGAAAACAUGAGGAGAAGAUUAUUGAACUUGUAAACAUUUGAAGCAUAAAUAUCAAAAUAUCUAUGUGUACGACUACAUUAGACAUUAACGCAUAGACAUAUUUCAUGGACCAGGAGGGGGACUUAUUAUGUAUCUUAAAAAAACUAAAUAUUUUUUAAGAGACGAUUAAAUCUUGAAUCUUCUGAUAUUUAGUAUUUAUGGUUGCAAGUAAAUUUUGAACAGGAUAAAUAACAUCUAUGUUUUGUACAUCGAGCUCCAAAAAGUCCACAGUUUUGGAUAGAUGGAAUCGAUGAAUAUAUUAUUGAAUUAGAUGAACCAUCUUUCUUCAAUGUUUAGUU